ACCUGAAUGGUUAAUAGGAAAGAAAACUUCUAAAAUAAGAACAAACUCAAGGCUGUGACUAAGGAGGCAAACAAAACUGCAGGUCACCUGUUGUAGGUAGUCCUGUCAUGGCUUGUGCCACGUUCUCAUGGUGAAUUCCUGAGCAAAUACUUACACCUUGCCCAAACAAACGUCAAGUGUUGCAUUUCAGUGGUGCUGAACAAAUGUUCUGCUAAAUAAGCAUGUUGUUCUUUGAGAGAGGAGGCAGCCGCCUUGGGCAGGAGCCCUGCAACCAGGCACAGAUGUCCUGGCUUUGUGACAGAGGAAGCAAGCUGGCUUCUGGGUAGGAACUUUGCACUGUAUUCUGUGCUGACAUACAGAAACUUUUCACCUAGGAUCCAACAGAGGAGGUAAACCAAGCUAGUCAGCCAGACAUGGAAAAACACAAGUCAGAGAGUGGGAUUCUUCCUUUUGUACUUGUAUUUUAUUUUGCUUUGCUCGUUCUGCAUGUCAUACACAACCAGUUUCACAACUCAGUGUUUUCUGACAUUAAAUUCUUCUGCACAUAUGUUUCUAUGCUAUUAGUCUUCUGCUACUAAUAUACAAAGUUUACUGUUAUGAAGGUAAUGUUUUAGACUGUUCAGAAGCCUUUAGCAAUCGAACCUACCUUUUUUCCUGAGAUGAAGGCACUUGAAAGAACAAUUGCCACACAAGAUGGAUCUGGGCAUGAAGCAUGGGACAAUCUGAUGGUAUAAACCAUCACAGCUGAAAGGUGCUGUUGUUUCCUCAUAUUUGCUCACUGGAAAGGAUGAACACAGUUUGGUCGCUGGAUUCUCUGGAGGACUCAGGCAGGACUCAUCACUGAUUUGGUAAAUGUUGCUACAAAGAUGAUGAAGAAGCAAGUGACAUAUAAUUUUCUUCUUGAACAAGAUGCCAAAUCUCAUCUAGCAAAUGUGAUAUCAGAAGGCAGUAGCCAGCAUAUGAUUCACAUAAUAUAUGUGAUCAUUAUCCUCAAAAAAUUGUCUUUCAGAACAACGAUGUAUGCAUGUGUUGGUAUACUGUUACCUAGUUGUAGAUGGUAUUCCACAUACUCAAAUGCUUUAGAGGAAUAUGCUUUCUAAUUCAAGCACAAUAUUCACAUUACUUACUCACAAUUUAUUGUGUACAUACAAAUAGUUGACCAGAACAGCAUUCAUGCAAAUUUCUGUAACUAUGAAUGAAGACAAUGUUGUAUGGAAGGUUUACACAUAUGUGUUUUCCCAUUCUAAGCUGAAAUUUCUUUGAUCUCCUCUGAGCCCAUUGUAUGUGUUUAUGUAUAUCUAAAUGUAUAUGCAUGCAUGCUACAUACACACAAAGAUUGGCAUGGAAAUGAAUAGAAAUGAGUCAUUCCAGUGCAGAUAACUUUCAGGGAAUUUUUCUGAAGUGUUUGGUACAGACUUUCAUGAGCAGUGGCUUCAGUUUCAAUUGUGGAUGAUGGCUGCCUCCAAACUGAGAAUUCUGGUUGAAAGAAGUAAAUUUUCUUGGAUCAAUUCUUGGACCAAAAGUGUUUUGGGAAGUUGUAUUAGAAUUGAAUUUGAAUUUUAGGGUUGAUGUGAGAUUUUUUUUUCAGAUUUCAUUAAAAUUAAGUUACUGUACUUGACAUUUGACCAGAAUCAUUUGAAAUUAGGAUAAAGACAGUCUUCAGCAUAUCUGUGUCUGUAUCUAUGUCUGUGUUUCUAUAUACAUACAAGUGUUCAGGUGACUGCAGUACCAAGGAUAGUCUACAUUCUCUACAUGACUAGCUUGCGUGGUCUAUUACAUGCUAGCAUUUACAAAGCUCUGUUUAGGAGAUCUCAUCAGAUCAGCAGCUCAAUUUUCUUUACAGCCUUUGAAUAGUAGGCAUAUAAGCAAAAAUCUUUGACUUGAGUUGUAACAUAGUUAUGUUAUAGCACGAUUUACUAUUGUUUAGGUACAAUUUAAAGCAAGGUUAUAAUUGCUGAUUUUGAGACCUGGAGUUUGACAGUAUACUGUGGUUUGGUUUCACAACACUGGAGAAACCUGUAAGCACAACUCAUAUUUCCCCUUCUUUCUUGCUGAGGCACCUAGAGAUAGGGCUGUAUCCUAAAAUGCUGAGUGCAAUGUUCUUCCAGUCCAGGUAUUCUUCAGCUACUUACUCUCCUCAGGAUUCUCUUCAUCUCAGCCAUGUAGAAAAAUGUGACCAUAGUUCUUCCACUGAGAAUCCAGUGAAAGUUCACUUUAGGCUGUGAUCCUCUGUUCUAAUCACAGAAUCACAGACUCACAGAAUUAUAGAGGUUGGAAGGGACCUCUAGAGAUCAUCGAGUCCAACCCCCCUGCCAAAGCAGGCUCCUUACAGCAGGCUGCAGCAAUAGCAUCACACUGCAGAUUGAUGUCCAGCUAAUAAUGCAUACAACUCCUAGAUCCAUUCCCAAAAUAUUACUGUCUAGACAGUUAUUUCUCAACCAGUUUGUGCAAUUAAUCGUAUCUGCCUAAGUCUUUUUAAUAAAUACCAAUUUGCUUCCUGUUUAUUCUCCAAAUUGUCAAGUAUUUUUUUAACUGUGAGCCUGCUACUUCAAUUGCUUGUAUUUCUUCUCGAGUAGAUAUUGUCCACAAGUUAGAUAUAUUAAUAACAGUCCUAAUUCCAUCAAGUCAGUAGCAAUAAUUUGUAUAGUUAUGUACCUACAACAGAUCCCCAGUUUGAGUUUAAAUUGUAAGAAAAUUGUCUUCAGUUAUGGCAAGUUCACUAAGAGAACAGUUUGCCUACACAAUGAUAGCUUUGCAAAGAUCACUUUUUUCCUUGGAGAAUGUCAUAGAAAUCAAUAACUAAAUCUUUGAUGACCCUAAAGUAAGAUCCUUGAAGAAGAGAAGGCUGUGGGAAGACCUCAUUGCAGCCUUUCAGUACUUGAAGAGAGCUUACUAGCAGGAGGUGGACUGACUUUUUGCACAGUCUGGUAGUGAUAGGACAAGGGGGAAUGGCUUUAACCUAAAAGAGGGUCGAUUUAGGUUAGA